rnacentral:rRNA from 1 species
UGCAGAAUCCCGCGAACCAUCGAGUCUUUGAACGCAAGUUGCGCCCAAGGCCAUUCGGCCGGGGGCACGCCUGCCUGGGCGUCACGCUAAACACGCUCCCAUCCCCUCAUUGGGAGCGGGAUGUGGCAUAUGGCUCCUUGUCGCGCAAGUUGCGUUGGGCCAAAGAUAUGGCUGCUGGUGUACCGUGCCGGACACAGCGCGUGGUAGGCGUCCUCGCUAUACUUCUGUAGUGUCUCCGGUGUGUAGCCAAGGUGAUGGCCUCGAAAGAGCCUUUCAAUGGUGCGCAUGACGCUCCGACCGCGACCCCAGGUCAGUCGGGACUACCCGCUGAAUUUAAGCAUAUAAAUAAGCGGAGGAGAAGAAACUUACAAGGAUUCCCCUAGUAAUGGCGAACGAACCGGGAACAGCCCAGCUUGAGAAUCGGGCGGCGUGUCGUCUGA